AUAGCGUAUAUUAAAGUUGUUGCAGUUAAAAAGCUCGUAGUUGAACCUUGGGCCUGGCUGGCCGGUCCGCCUCACCGCGUGCACUGGUCCGGCCGGGCCUUUCCUUCUGGGGAGCCGCAUGGCCUUCAUUGGUCGUGUCGGGGAACCAGGACUUUUACUUUGAAAAAAUUAGAGUGUUCAAAGCAGGCCUAUGCUCGAAUACAUUAGCAUGGAAUAAUAGAAUAGGACGUGUGGUUCUAUUUUGUUGGGUUCUAGGAUCGACGUAAUGAUUAAUAGGGAUAGUUGGGGGCAUUAGUAUUCAAUUGUCAGAGGUGAAAUUCUUGGAUUUAUUGAAGACUAACUACUG
rnacentral:rRNA from 1 species